GUUCAAAACUAUUAGGAUUAAAAUAUAAAAAGGCAAAGAAUUAAGGUCCAAAACAAAAAAAUUAUCCACUAAAUCUUAUAACUGAAUUGAAAUUGCAAACUAAAAACAUAAAAGGUAAAAAUUUGUUUUCGAAACCAAAAAACAGAUAACAUCACAAACAACAGACUUAAUCAAACAAACUGAAACCCAUGUCAUCAUCUGACUCCUCAGCAGGCUCUUCCUUCUUCUCCUCCUCUUUAGCAGCAGCAGGAGCAGCUCCAGAACCAGCAGCUGCAGCAGGAGCGGCAGCAACAGCGGCAAACUUACUUGGAUCCGCGAGGUAUUCCUUCACUUUGUCAGCGAGAGGGAAAGAGUAGUCGGUUUCAAUUGCAAUGGCCAACACAUUCUUGUAGGCGUUGGUGAACAUGUGGGGUGCAGCAGCAAGAGUUGGGUAAGAGAUGGCCAAUGCCAAGGAGGUAACCAUAGAUACUCCCAUGGCAAACUUCUCAAUGAGAUCAUCCUCAGUCAGGUCAAGAACCUCAGGGCUGAAGACGGAACCAUUGUCGUAAACAGAGAGAACAACAAGACCGUAUGAGAAUGGCCUAAUACCAAGUUUGGCAAGCAGGGCAGCUUCAGAGGAACCAACUUUAUCACCCUUCUUGAUGAGUUCCACAGGAGUGAUAAUUUCAACAGUACCCUUG
rnacentral:misc_RNA from 1 species